rnacentral:rRNA from 1 species
UGGGGAAUAUUGCACAAUGGGCGGAAGCCUGAUGCAGCAACGCCGCGUGCGGGAUGACGGCCUUCGGGUUGUAAACCGCUUUCAGUAGGGACGAAGCGCAAGUGACGGUACCUACAGAAGAAGCACCGGCUAACUACGUGCCAGCAGCCGCGGUGAUACGUAGGGUGCGAGCGUUGUCCGGCAUUAUUGGGCGUAAAGAGCUUGUAGGCGGUUGGUUGCGUCGUAAGUGAAAACUCAGGGCUUAACCCUGGGCUUGCUUGCGAUACGGGCUGACUUGAGGAAGGGAGGGGAGAAUGGAAUGCCCGGUGUAGCGGUGGAAUGCGCAGAGAUCGGGAGGAACACCAGUGGCGAAGGCGGUUCUCUGGACCUUUCCUGACGCUGAGAAGCGAAAGCGUGGGGAGCAAACA